GUGCUUGCUUCGGCAUCACAUAUACUAAAAUUGGAACGAUACAGAGAAGAUUAGCAUGGCCCCUGCAAGGAUGAGGCUGAUAUCUGAGGAUUAUAAUUCAAAGCC